rnacentral:snRNA from 1 species
GUUCUCACUUCAACAGCAUUUACACUAAAAUUGAACCAAUAUAAAGAUUAGCAUGGCCCCUGUGCAGGAAUGACAUGCAAAUUCACCUUCCAUUGUUUCUUUUA